GACGAACGCUGGCGGCGUGCCUAAUACAUGCAAGUAGAACGCUGAGGCUUGGUGCUUGCACCGAGCGGAUGAGUUGCGAACGGGUGAGUAACGCGUAGGUAACCUGCCUGGUAGCGGGGGAUAACUAUUGGAAACGAUAGCUAAUACCGCAUAACAGUAGAUAUCGCAUGAUAGCUACUUGAAAGGUGCAAAUGCACCACUACCAGAUGGACCUGCGUUGUAUUAGCUAGUUGGUGAGGUAACGGCUCACCAAGGCAACGAUACAUAGCCGACCUGAGAGGGUGAUCGGCCACACUGGGACUGAGACACGGCCCAGACUCCUACGGGAGGCAGCAGUAGGGAAUCUUCGGCAAUGGACGGAAGUCUGACCGAGCAACGCCGCGUGAGUGAAGAAGGUUUUCGGAUCGUAAAGCUCUGUUGUAAGAGAAGAACGAGUGUGAGAGUGGAAAGUUCACACUGUGACGGUAUCUUACCAGAAAGGGACGGCUAACUACGUG
rnacentral:rRNA from 1 species